UCCUACGGGGCGCAGCAGUGGGGGAUAUUGCACAAUGGGGGGAACCCUGAUGCAGCGACGCCGCGUGGGUGAAGGAGCGUUUCGGCGCGUAAAGCCCUAUCGGCAGGGAAGAAGAUGACGGUACCUGACCAAGAAGCCCCGGCUAACUACGUGCCAGCAGCCGCGGUAAUACGUAGGGGGCAAGCGUUAUCCGGAUUUACUGGGUGUAAAGGGGGCGCAGACGGCAAUGCAAGCCAGGAGGGAAAACCCGGGGCCCAACCCCGGGAGUGCAUGGGGAACGGCCGCGCUAGAGUGC
rnacentral:rRNA from 1 species